rnacentral:ncRNA from 1 species
CAGGCUCUCGGCGUCGCGCACGGCCCUCGGAAAAAGCGCGACGUUUCUUGGCGGGUGGCUCGUACAGCACCCCUUUUUUU